GACGAACGCUGGCGGCGUGCUUAACACAUGCAAGUCGAACGCUGAAGCCCAGCUUGCUGGGUGGAUGAGUGGCGAACGGGUGAGUAACACGUGAGUAACCUGCCCCCUUCUUUGGGAUAACGCCCGGAAGCGGGUGCUAAUACUGGAUAUUCACUGGCCUUCGCAUGGGGGUUGGUGGAAAGGUUUUUUCUGGUGGGGGAUGGGCUCGCGGCCUAUCAGCUUGUUGGUGGGGUGAUGGCCUACCAACGCUUUGACGGUUAGCCCGCCUGAGAGGGUGACCGGUCAGCUUGGGCUUGAUAUACCGCCCCCACUCCCACCGGACGCAGCAGUGGGGAAUGAUGAACGAAGGGAGGAAAACCUGAGGCGUGCACCCCCCCCCGU
rnacentral:rRNA from 1 species